GAUCCCCUACAAAUUCCCCACAUACGUAGGCCAGGAGCCUCAGCGGUGCCCCUUCAGGCUCAUCUGGCAAGACGGUACCAGCUUGCUCAGAACAGGGGCUGGCUAUUCAUCAUCUCAGAGCAUAGAGACCCUCUCCUUGCCACCCGGCCCUUCCCACCUGGUUGGUGACAAAUCACAAGUGGUAGAAGUUGCCAGGGACAGAUAACAUGGCAGCCAGCGGGAAGACCAGCAAGUCCGAACCGAACCAUGUUAUCUUCAAGAAGAUCUCCCGGGACAAAUCGUGACCAUCUACCUGGGGAACAGAGACUACAUAGACCAUGUCAGCCAAGUCCAGCCUGUGGUGGUGUCGUGUUGGUUGAUCCUGAUCUUGUGAAGGGAAAGAAAGGUAUGUCACUCUGACCUGCGCCUUCCGCUAUGGCCAAGAGGACAUUGACGUGAUCGGCUUGACCUUCCGCAGGGACCUGUACUUCUCCCGGGUCCAGGUGUAUCCUCCUGUGGGGGCCGCGAGCACCCCCACAAAACUGCAAGAGAGCCUGCUUAAAAAGCUGGGGAGCAACACGUACCCCUUUCUCCUGACGUUCCUGACUACUUGCCCUGUUCA
rnacentral:lncRNA from 1 species